CCCUUAGAUGUUCUGGGCCGCACGCGCGCUACAAUGAUGAAUUCAACGAGUUUAUAACCUUGGUUGAAAAGCCUGGGUAAUCUUUUGAACUUUCGUCGUGAUGGGGCUAGACCCUUGCAAUUAUUGGUCUCCAACGAGGAAUUCCUAGUAAACGCAAGUCAUCAGCUUGCAUUGAUUACGUCCCUGCCCUUUGUACACACCGCCCGUCGCACCUACCGAUUGAAUGGUCUGGUGAAAUCUUCGGAUUGAGACUUUGUUUUCUUCACGGAAAACGCUGUUUUAAAAAGUUGAUUAAACCUUACCAUUUAGAGGAAGGUGAAGUCGUAACA
rnacentral:rRNA from 1 species